AGAGUUUGAUCCUGGCUCAGGACGAACGCUGGCGGCGUGCCUAAUACAUGCAAGUCGAGCGGACAGAAGGGAGCUUGCUCCCGGAUGUUAGCGGCGGACGGGUGAGUAACACGUGGGUAACCUGCCUGUAAGACUGGGAUAACUCCGGGAAACCGGAGCUAAUACCGGAUAGUUCCUUGAACCGCAUGGUUCAAGGAUGAAAGACGGUUUCGGCUGUCACUUACAGAUGGACCCGCGGCGCAUUAGCUAGUUGGUGAGGUAACGGCUCACCAAGGCGACGAUGCGUAGCCGACCUGAGAGGGUGAUCGGCCACACUGGGACUGAGACACGGCCCAGACUCCUACGGGAGGCAGCAGUAGGGAAUCUUCCGCAAUGGACGAAAGUCUGACGGAGCAACGCCGCGUGAGUGAUGAAGGUUUUCGGAUCGUAAAGCUCUGUUGUUAGGGAAGAACAAGUGCAAGAGUAACUGCUUGCACCUUGACGGUACCUAACCAGAAAGCCACGGCUAACUACGUGCCAGCAGCCGCGGUAAUACGUAGGUGGCAAGCGUUGUCCGGAAUUAUUGGGCGUAAAGGGCUCGCAGGCGGUUUCUUAAGUCUGAUGUGAAAGCCCCCGGCUCAACCGGGGAGGGUCAUUGGAAACUGGGAAACUUGAGUGCAGAAGAGGAGAGUGGAAUUCCACGUGUAGCGGUGGAAUGCGUAGAUAUAUGGAAGAACACCAGUGGCGAAGGCGGCUGUCUGGUCUGCAACUGACGCUGAGGCUCGAAAGCAUGGGUAGCGAACAGGAUUAGAUACCCUGGUAGUCCAUGCCGUAAACGAUGAG
rnacentral:rRNA from 1 species